GGCGAACGGGUGAGUAAUAUAUCGGAACGUACCCAAGAGUGGGGGAUAACGUAGUUAAAGUUACGCUAAUACCGCAUACGAUCCAAGGAUGAAAGCAGGGGACCUUCGGGCCUUGUGCUCCUGGAGCGGCCGAUAUCUGAUUAGCUAGUUGGUGAGGUAAAGGCUCACCAAGGCGACGAUCAGUAGCUGGUCUGAGAGGACGACCAGCCACACUGGAACUGAGACACGGUCCAGACUCCUACGGGAGGCAGCAGUGGUGAAUUUUGGACAAUGGGCGCAAGCCUGAUCCAGCAAUGCCGCGUGAGUGAAGAAGGCCUUCGGGUUGUAAAGCUCUUUUGUCAGGGAAGAAACGGYUGUGGCUAAUAUCCWUGGCUAAUGACGAUACCUGAAGAAUAAGCACCGGCUAACUACGUGCCAGCAGCCGCGGUAAUACGUAGGGUGCAAGCGUUAAUCGGAAUUACUGGGCGUAAAGCGUGCGCAGGCGGUUUUGUAAGUCUGUCGUGAAAUCCCCGGGCUCAACCUGGGAAUUGCGAUGGAGACUGCAAGGCUAGAAUCUGGCAGAGGGGGGUAGAAUUCCACGUGUAGCAGUGAAAUGCGUAGAGAUGUGGAGGAACACCGAUGGCGAAGGCAGCCCCCUGGGUCAAGAUUGACGCUCAUGCACGAAAGCGUGGGGAGCAAACAGGAUUAGAUACC
rnacentral:rRNA from 1 species